GACGAACGCUGGCGGCGUGCUUAACACAUGCAAGUUGAACGGUUCGGGCCGAGUAGCAAUAUGAGGCCCGGAUAGUAGCGGACGGGUGAGUAACGCGUGAGCAACCUACCUUUGUGAGGGGGACAACAGCUGGAAACGGCUGCUAAUACCGCAUAAGGCCACGGCUCCGAGUGGAGCUGAGGUAAAAGAAAUUCGCACAAAGAUGGGCUCGCGUCCCAUUAGCUAGUUGGUGAGGUAACGGCCCACCAAGGCAACGAUGGGUAGCCGACCUGAGAGGGUGAUCGGCCACACUGGAACUGAGAUACGGUCCAGACUCCUACGGGAGGCAGCAGUGGGGAAUAUUGGGCAAUGGGCGCAAGCCUGACCCAGCAACGCCGCGUGAGGGAAGAAGGUCUUCGGAUUGUAAACCUCUGUCCUUGGGGACGAAAAAAUGACGGUACCCAAGGAGGAAGCUCCGGCUAACUACGUG
rnacentral:rRNA from 1 species